rnacentral:rRNA from 1 species
UACGUAGGGGGCUAGCGUUGUCCGGAAUCAUUGGGCGUAAAGCGCGCGUAGGCGGUCAGGUAAGUCCGGUGUGAAAGUCAAAGGCUCAACCUUUGAAUGCCGCUGGAUACUGCCUGACUUGAGUCCGGAAGGGGCGAGUGGAAUUCCUGGUGAGUAGCGGUGAAUGCGCAGAUAUCAGGAGGAACACCAAUGGCGAAGGCAGCACUCUGGGACGUGACUGACGCUGAGACGCGAAAGCGUGGGGAGCAAACAGG